rnacentral:rRNA from 1 species
ACGUAGGGUGCAAGCGUUAAUCGGAAUUACUGGGCGUAAAGCGUGCGCAGGCGGUCUUGCAAGACAGAUGUGAAAUCCCCGGGCUCAACCUGGGAACUGCAUUUGUGACUGCAAGGCUAGAGUGCGGCAGAGGGGGAUGGAAUUCCGCGUGUAGCAGUGAAAUGCGUAGAUAUGCGGAGGAACACCGAUGGCGAAGGCAAUCCCCUGGGCCUGCACUGACGCUCAUGCACGAAAGCGUGGGGAGCAAACAGGAUUAGAUACCCUGGUAGUCCACGCCCUAAACGAUGUCAACUGGUUGUUGGGAAGGUUCCUUCUCAGUAACGUAGCUAACGCGUGAAGUUGACCGCCUGGGGAGUACGGCCGCAAGGUUG